UACGGAGGAUGCAAGCGUUAUCCGGAAUGAUUGGGCGUAAAGCGUCCGCAGGUGGCAAUGUAAGUCUGCUGUCAAAGCGUCUGGCUCAACCAGAUAAAGGCAGUGGAAACUACAUAGCUAGAGUAAGGUAGGGGUAGAGGGAAUUCCUGGUGUAGCGGUGAAAUGCGUAGAGAUCAGGAAGAACACCGGUGGCGAAAGCAGCUUUCUGGGACGGUACUGACGCUGAGACGCGAAAGCGUGGGGAGCGAACAGG
rnacentral:rRNA from 1 species